rnacentral:sRNA from 1 species
AUUAAUGUGUGCAUACCAUGUGUAUUUAUCACUUCCAACUCUUUUGAUAGGACUCAUUUUCACUAUUUUGGCCUUUUAAAAAGUCUAUUUUCUGUCCAGCCAUUUUCAUACAUUCUUUCCACCAUCCUAAUGAUGCUGAAACCUAUCAGAGAUGUCAUCAUGCUCAUAUUUUGAGUAUAAGAACUCCAAAAUGAGGAGGAUAACAAUAAUGUUGAUACUCGUAGCAUACUUACAUGUUAGACACCAGAUUACCUGGUUCAUAUGCAUGAUCCACUUUAACUGUAUCAAUUAGCUGUGCGGCAGCCUCUUGGAUGCUGGGAUUUCAGGGAUCCUUAAUGAUUUGUAGCAGGGUGGAUAAGUGGUCUUGUUGUCAUCCCAGGAGAAGAAAAGUAAGAUGAAUGCUAUCACAGAAUUUCCUUAAAAUCAUACAGAGAGAAAAUCUCAACCCUGCCAGUUAGACUCUGAAACAAGUGUUUUCCCACAGCACAUUUCCAAAGAGAUCUGCUUCUUCUCAGCAACUAAAUAUUUUUCCAAUAAGUUUUAACCAAGAAUCAUGGAAUAUAAGACUGAAGUCUAUAGAUUAAGGGUAGAAUAUUGUGCAAAAUGAUAUUGUCAUUUGAUGUAUUUAAGCUUGGUUAUUCAAGGAUAAGAGAUUCUCAUUAGUCAAAUUAUUUGAAAAUACAAAAUGAAAUCAAUCUGGAAUACAUAGUAUGAGGGUACUGGGGGAUAAUUUUAAUAUUCUGUGUGAGAAUCUAAUAGGAAAGUGAAUCUCUGUAGGGAGGAGACAAGGAUGCUGUAUGAAGAGUUUUCCCGAAAAGAAAAAUAUAAUUAAGUUGGAAUUAAAAACAUGAAUAGUAAUUAACUGGGCAAAUGAUAUUUUCUGGGUUGAGCUCCCCAAAAUCUUCAAUGUGUAGGGGCUAUCACAUCACGUAAAAUACUGCCAGACUUAGUUCACAAACAGAUAAAAGCUGCCAAUGUAGACUGGUCUAGUAAAUGCAACAUUGUGCAUUAAAUAUUUCCCCCACUUCUUAGCAACUCUGCUACUGUGAACUACAUUACUGUAGUGAGAAAAAAGACAAGUUAUUCUUUGAAAAAUCUCAUUCUAUUUUGUUACUGGAAAGCUAGAGAAGAGGAAGAAAAAUGGAUUCACUGAAGUCAGAGAAAGAUAUUUCAGAGCACCAGAAAGGAUGCGUUGUGGCACAACAUAGGAUUAUGUAACCGGAUAUGGAACUUAUGAUAAAUCUAGUCAUGGCCAAGAAUUCUGGACAUGGAAUGACUGGGAUGAACUGAAAGUGUAACUCGAAGUCAAGUUUUUUUCUUAGAAUGAUUUAAAUGUGACGACUGAGUCUGCCUGGAAUACCAGAAAAGGCCGAGUCACUGACUAAGGAGACCCGUCUUCACUAAUAAUGGGUAUUACCUAACCUACCAUCUGAAGAGAAGGAGAAGAAGGGAGGAUUGCUUUUUCAUUUGGGGCACUUACCUCCUCCUAUCUUCAGCUAUGGCACCUGUGCUGAGAUCACUCAGCUAGCCUGGCAUCUACCUCUGUGUCAGAAGAGUCAGGAUUUUAAGGAGUUGGUUUCAUACGAACCGAAGUAUGGGCUAGGACCUGCUGAAUAUCUGAGUCAUCUAUUCCACUUAUUCAGAAACUUGUGAGUACCCUAAAGCACAGACAAUUUUAUAUCCAUCAUUUGCAAUGUCUGUGCUUAUCUCUAUUUGGAAAGAAAUAGAUAACUGCUUUAACUUGAGAUCUUCCUGAAAGCCUCUGAGUCAAAGGCUUGAGAAAACAAGUUUGGCGUGGGCAGAAAAGAGAGGUAUAGAAAUGCAAAGGGAAAAAGAGCGGGUGUAAAACAAUGUGGGUUAUUAAGAAAAUGUGUCUGUUGUGUGGGGGAGAAGAGGUGGAGCCUAAUCCUACAAGAAAUCUCUGGGAAAUACAUCCACCUCAGGGCUUUUCUACCUGCCAUCACAAGAAGACAGGAUAUUCUAAUUCUUACCAGAAUUUGGGGACUUCCUUAGGAGUAGGAUAACCGAGAACUAUAUCUGUUCUGGCAAGAGGAAGGGGGACUUUUGAGCUUCUAAGAAAGUCCUCAGAGACAGAGGCAGGUGUUGGCAGCUGUAAGUUGUGUUGGUCUAUCCUGAUGAGGUAAGUAAGGGUUAAUGAAUAGAGUGAGCCCUAGUAACAUCUGCUAUGAUACUUAACAAAAUCCCCUUAAUUCAUCUAACAGCUCUUAGUGAGUCUCACUCAUUAAAACAGCAUCUGCUAUGAAGAAAGAUGAAUCAACCUCAUCUUUGAACUCAACCACCAGAUUAGAAAAUGAUGGCUAUUCAGCUAUCUGAAGGAGAGAGCCAACUAAUACAGACUUGGCUUUCCAUUUUCUGGAAGAUGAAGCUCCUAAGUUUCAUAUUAAUUACGAUAUAGUAAAAGAGCACUUCAGUGUUAGGAGAGCAACACUAAACAGAGUCAAAACUCAUAAGAGUACACUUGAGAAGGACUAGAAAGCUGGAAGGGCAAAGAAAACAGGCACUGUGCCUUUUUAUUUUAUUAAAGCCCAGGGAUUCCCCUGUGGAGCAUGGAAUGAUCAAUGCUCGUCACACUUUUGGGUGUUUGAGCACAUGGUUCGUAGUUGGUGGUGCUGUUUGGGAAAGUAAAGUGUGUAACUGGUAGGUAGGCUUUCAGAGUUUAAAGACUCAUGCUGUUUCUAGUUCUCUCUGUUUUAUACUUUUUUUUUAAGGAAUGAACUUUCAGCUUGCUCCAUCCACUAUGCCUACUGCCAUGAUUUCUCUACCAUGAUGGACUCUAAACCUCUGGAUUCAUAAGCCUAAAUAAAUGCCGUUUUCUAAAGGUUGCCUUGGUCAUGGUGUUUUACCAUAGCGACAGAAGAGUAAUGAAUGCAUCCAACUACACCAAGCACGGAGAUGUCGAAGCUUAGACUAGGCUUGAAGAUCAAGAUACGCUAAAUAGCUGUGAAAGUGCACAGUUCCUUCAGAUUGGUUGAAGUUUGCUGUUAGGGAAGUCACAUGGUGCUGUUGUAGUUCCACUAGUCAUAUUCUAUCUGGCCUUGUCACUUGGAUGCUUUGGUUAGUGAAUCUGGACCAAGGAAUCCAAACUUGACAAUGAGAUGUAACCUUGUACUGGGAUACAUCAAUGGCUAUUCUGAGAUGCUGUGACUUGUAGCUGCAGGUUGAAAAAAACAGGUUCUGGAUGUAGAGUUAAAAAUUUUACACGUUCUAAGUUUCUAGUUUCUUGGCCUAUUUAUUAUUUAUAGUAAAUGGGCAUAAUUAUUUUGACUAUGGUGAGCUGACCUUUAUUCAAGAAGCUGUACAAUUUGAAAGGCACUGCAGGCAGGCUGCCUUGUCUGACUAACCAGAACAUUGCGGUUGCAGAGAGAGAUGGUGUCCUAAGACCAGGGUUUACAUUAAUUGGAAUAUUUUUGGUGUUUCAGUUUACCUACCUUUUCUGUAUCAGCCUAAUGUCCUUGCAGCUCUAAUGUAUUGCUAGGCAGGUGUUUAAUUUCCAAUAACUCUUAAGCCAAGAAUGCUGCAAGAGAACAUUUCAACUUUACAGCAAUGCUUUCCUGACACUCUGUAGAUGGCACUGCUAUAAUUGGAAAAUAUAUUGAUUUAUGACUUCCUCUAUUUUAUGGCUAUAAAUGUUGACGUCAUCUCUUCCUUGGUGGAACGUAUCACUUAGGUUAACUUGAAUCCUGUCCUGAGCUGUGAUCACUCAUGUAUGGUUCAGAGUCAGCUAUUUUCCUCUUUUAAAGCAGUCUUAUUAUUUCAUACGAAGAGUGCUUUUGCUAACAGAAUGCUACAGUUUUUUAUUUAUUUAUUUAUU